rnacentral:misc_RNA from 1 species
AAGUCGUAACAAGGUUUCCGUAGGUGAACCUGCGGAAGGAUCAUUACAGAAUAAACCUGGCUAGUUGUUGCUGGCUCUCUCAGGAGCAUGUGCACGCUGGUCACUUUUAUCUUACCACCUGUGAACCACUUGUAGAUCUGGAGGCAUUUUUCACGGACUUUGUCUGUGGUUUUUGGGAGCUGCCAUGCCCUUUUACUAGGGUCGACUCUUCCUGGCCUUCAGGUCUAUGUCUUUACAUCUACUCCAUCAAAUGUAAAUGAAAGAAACAAUGGCAGCUUUAUUGCAGCCUAUAAAACUUGUACAACUUUCAGCAACGGAUCUCUUGGCUCUC